UCAAGACACCCAAAAUUCAAAAAAACACACACACAUCUAUCAAAACACACACACACACACACCAAACCCUAUCAAACUCGAUCUCUGCCGCUCCAUCAAACCCUAUCAAACCCGAUCGCCAUCCAUCUCUGCCGCUCUCAUCACCAUCACCAUCCAUCUCCAACACACACACACACACACACACACUUUCCGAUGGCCGUUAAUGGCGGUUCCCGUGUUAACGGAUUUAUCUCAGGCUAGAUCCAAAGAUUUUUUUGGGUUUCGGAUAAUUCUGCUUCUUCAUCUUGCUAUAUGUUUAAUGCAAAUUUCGAUUGGAGAAAACACGGCCAAAUUUUGGUGCGGCUAUGAUGUUAAUGGGGUUGCCAUUGCAGGAUCUUGCUAUUUUCAGGUGGGUGAAUUAACGAGUGAUGAUUUUAAAGGCUUCAAGGAAAUGAUGAUUGAAAGGGAUGUUCAAGAAGCCUGCGCAAUGCCGUUAUUUGGUCACAUUCUUGAAGCCUUGCAUCUGGUGUAUCUGUUGAUAGUGAAAGAAAUGCCAAAUUGUCAAAACCACCCACGGGGGACUUCUGUUUGCUGUUUAUGAUCUAUUCUGUUCGCUGUAAAAGCACCAUACAGUACCUAAUAUUCUUAUGUUCUUUGUUGUCUUGGCAGAUCUUCAUCAGGAUUAGCCAAGUUAAGUAAGCCUUCUGGUAGCAGAAUUCUUGCUAAACAACAGGGAGAGAAAAAAGAAACACCCCAGGAGCAACUUAAGCGGAUUAUGAACAAACAACUAAAUAAGCAGAUCAAGAAAGAUAAUGCUGCUGAAAUGGCUAAGAAACGAGAACAAAAGCGACAUAGACUUGAGAAACUUGCAGAAACCAGCAGACUAUCGUUCAGACUAUCUCGCUCCCCACCCCGUUCUGUAACAUCUCUCCGGUCUCGUUCCAUAUCUCGCUCUCGCUCCCCAAGGAUUGUAAUUCGUAACAGAAGACUCGAAGAAAUGUGGUACUAGCUUCUAUAUAUAUUUACUUCAUCUAAGUUUAAUUUUUAUAUUUGGUUUCUAAUCUUAAGUGUACAUCUUUAAAUUAUUCAGCUAAGACUGUAACAACCGUCUUAUAAAUAUUCUAAUUUAGUUUCUUAAGUCGUACUUUCG